GCCCGUCUAGCUCAGUGGGCAGAGCGCAAGGCUCUUAACCUUGUGGUCGUGGGUUCGAGCUGCACGGUGGGUG
rnacentral:tRNA from 1 species